CCUACGGGAGGCAGCAGUGGGGAAUAUUGGACAAUGGGCGCAAGCCUGAUCCAGCCAUGCCGCGUGUGUGAAGAAGGCCUUCGGGUUGUAAAGCACUUUUGUUGGGGAAGAAAACCUGUUGGUUAAUACCCGGCGGGAAUGACGGUACCCAAAGAAUAAGCACCGGCUAACUUCGUGCCAGCAGCCGCGGUAAUACGAAGGGUGCAAGCGUUACUCGGAAUUACUGGGCGUAAAGCGUGCGUAGGUGGUUCGUUAAGUCUGCCGUGAAAGCCCCGGGCUCAACCUGGGAAUGGCGGUGGAUACUGGCGGACUAGAGUGCGGUAGAGAGUGGUGGAAUUCCCGGUGUAGCAGUGAAAUGCGUAGAGAUCGGGAGGAACAUCUGUGGCGAAGGCGGCCACCUGGACCAGCACUGACACUGAGGCACGAAAGCGUGGGGAGCAAACAGGAUUAGAUACCCUGGUAGUCCACGCCCUAAACGAUGCGAACUGGACGUUGGGCUCAACUAGGAGCUCAGUGUCGAAGCUAACGCGUUAAGUUCGCCGCCUGGGGAGUACGGUCGCAAGACUGAAACUCAAAUGAAUUGACGGGG
rnacentral:rRNA from 1 species